CAGCAGCCGCCGCGGGAAUACGUAGGUGGCAAGCGUUGUCCGGAAUUAUUGGGCGUAAAGGGCUCGCAGGCGGUUUCUUAAGUCUGAUGUGAAAGCCCCCGGCUCAACCGGGGAGGGUCAUUGGAAACUGGGAAACUUGAGUGCAGAAGAGGAGAGUGGAAUUCCACGUGUAGCGGUGAAAUGCGUAGAGGUGUGGAGGAACACCAGUGGCGAAGGCGACUCUCUGGUCUGUAACUGACGCUGAGGAGCGAAAGCGUGGGGAGCGAACAGGAUUAGAGACCCCCGUAGUCCCUGUCUCUUAUAC
rnacentral:rRNA from 1 species